rnacentral:misc_RNA from 1 species
CGCCAAAAAGGUCGCCCCCCGUGGAACGAUCGUACAUGGGAUUUGCUCCUUAGGAAAUGGAUUCUGCGGGUAAUGAUGAGUCUGUAGACGGUAUGAAUCCUCAAGCGGAGUGUGAGACUGCUGCGGCGAGAAGAGGCCGGUUGAGAACGGGGAGGCUGAAGAAUUAGGUGUUAGAUCAACCAAAAAGGCGAAUUGUGGGGCCGGAGAGAUGCAGAGAGUGGCGGGGGUAGUGUUGGGGUUGUCAACCAUGGCGGGGGGGGGGGGGGGGGAGAGGGCGGCGGGAGGG